GUAAUCUCUGUACUCCAAGAAGUACAAUAUCAAAACCUCCUCUCUGGUUAUGAUCAUCUAUGUACCUUAAUCUUUAUAUACUUUAACUCUCUUCUAAGCACCAUCUGCUCAGGCUUGCUAAGUCUAGACUUGAUUCUCUAUCUACCUGGUUGCCAAUUCAGAAGGAAUAUCAAGAGGAUCGUCAAGGAGGAAAAAGCAAGCAUCUGUUUGAAACAAAGAGGGAAGAGCGAAGUUCCAAGGAACAAGGAGGCAUGAACAUGAACAGAGAGAAUUGUCUGUGUGUUCGGCUUUGCUUGUUGCUUAUUUGCCCAUGAGAGGCCCCAUGAGUACAACAAUAUGGUGGAAGUUUGGUGUUGAAGUUCAAUGCAAGUCCAAGCAAGGUCAAAUGGCAGAGAAGACACUGAGGGUCAAGAACUCUUUGUAGAUUGUGACCUCCAUCAUGUUCACCUCCUGGGAGGAGAUAUAAUUUGUAAUGUUUCCUAAACUUUCACCGAGAAUUCCCAUUAACACGUGGCACACUACAGUUUGGGGAAGAACAUGAUGGUGGAUGUCUAUGGAAGGAGCAUCCCAGCUCAUCAGCAAGCAACUACUGAGUGUUCUGCACCAGCCUAGAUAUGAUUCCUAAACAGUACAAUGUCAAUAUGUAAGGGAGACAGUAUAAAAGAUCCUAAAGACGUUGGCAAACUAUGCAAAUUAUGCAAGUUCUAUCUAUUUUUAAGUAUUUCAUUGUGUAUAUGGCCAUAUAUUACAAAGCCAAAAAUCAGUACCCUUCUUCUGAUAAAUUAUUUUUAUUUCAUCACUGGGUGUAAGGGACUUUUUGGAAAAAGUAGUUUAAGUGCUAUCUCAAGAGCUUAUGGAGAGAGCAAAUAUAUUUGAAAUUACAUUUGUCCCACAAAACCUGAGAUAUAAAUGUAUUUUGGAAAUUCAAAUAUAACGAAGAAUGAUGAAAACUGGAAACUUACUACUCAGGACUUUAUAUUCAGUGACCAACAUAAAAGGUUUAUUUUUUAAUUUUUUUAUUUUUUAUUUGCCUCUGUGUUAGUGAAAAAUUUAUUGUAGAUCAACAUUUGAAAAACUGCUGUUGGAAGUAACGCAAAAUGACUUUGUAGACACAGUGAGCUGGAUUUCUUCAGCAAAGUAGAUUUUGUGAACAGUAGGGAUUAGAAACGUUUUAGGCCAGGGGAAUGGAAUAUCUGAAGAAAGAGAAUCUAGCACUUUUGUGGAACUAUGAUGAAGGUUUAACCAUUGAAGUUAAAAAUACGUAUUGCUGAUGAGUGGACAUGAGGGAUGGUGGGCAAAAUGAAGCCAGGAUUAUGGAAGGCUUGAAAACCAGACAGAGUCUGGGAAUGAUGGAUUAUCUGGGUUAUUUAUACACCCCAAUUGCAGUAAGGCAUAGAGUCAAUUAUAAGAUGAUAGUGAUGACUGUAUCCCUUUAAAAGUUUAUAUUGAUAGAUGAGUGUAUUUCAUGGUAACUGUACUUUGAUAGUGGUCUAAAAUUUGAGUUUCCUUUUCCCCUGAAUCAUUUAAAAUACAUAAAAAUAAUUUUUCGCCCUUCUCUUUCUCCUCCUCCUUCUCUCUCUCCUGGUCUCUGCUUCUUUCUCUCUCUUUCUCUCCACAUACACAUAUACACCCACUAUAUGUGGACACAUACACACAUAUAUGGUAAUUAAACUUGACUGGAUAUACAGAAAUCAGUUGAUUACUUUUCCCUGUGAUACUGUAGUUUUCCCCUGUUCUUAUGCCCUAAAAAUAUUUUUGAGUAAUAAAAACAAUCCUACCUUAAUUUAUUGGAAUGUGGUGGAAAAAAUCUAAUAUGUAGUAAGUAAAAACUACUUGAUAAUCACUAUUUUGGAUGCUAAAAUCCAAACAUCCAUUUAAUUUUCUAAGAAACCACAGUAAAGCAUUAUCUCCAUGUUACAGAUGAGAAUAUUGAAAAUCAGAGAGGUUAAUCAACUGGCCCAGGAGCACACAGCAGCUGUUGUGAGAGGUUGGAUAUGAACCCUGGUGUUUGUGGCUCUAAAACUAUCAUUCACUCUUCCAUGUAACUCUUGACUCAAACAGAAUAUUGCCACCAUAAAGUUGGUGAUCUAGAAGAUUAAAAUUAAAUUGAUCUUUUCAAUACCACAUUUGUUUGACAUCAUUUAGUGAAGUGUGUGUUUCUGUUUUACCUUUUCAAUUAUGGACCAUGAAACGGUCACUUUCAAUUGCUUUAAUGGGGAAAAAACACCACACAACAACUGAUUAGAGUCUUUAUUUGUUCAUGGUAAGCUGUAACAUAAGUUAGGAAUCAUAGAUCUCAUAAUAACUGUUUGUAGUCAACAGAGAAAAUAAAGUACAGGCAGUUUUCCUGAUAAUAAAAAGUGAAAACACUGAUUCUGGCAGAAAAACAAAAAGUUAACAAAAUGGAAUUAGCCUUUUUUUCUUUAUGACCCUCUGCUAUCUACAUUCUAUCUACUGUUACUAGUUCUGUUCUGUUAUCUGAAUGGUGGAAGGUACCAAUGGAAAAUCACAAUCUAAUCACAUUCUACUCUCAUAACCUGGUCCCCAAUCUGUGAAUUUUCUGAAUUAUAACUGCUUCCCUCAUUUACUUUGUCCUUGUCUAUGUAUCAGCCACUCCUAGCUACCUGAUAGCUCAUUAAGGAGAAGGAAACACAAAGCUUUGUGUAGCGAUUUGGUUCUGUGCAGUAAUUCUCAUUCAUGCCUGAUGCACCUGCCCCAGGUACUUCCAUUGGUUUUGUUGAAGAAGUGGGGUCACCUAGUAUCUGUUCAGCCCUUGCUAUACGAGGAGCCCAGCGUGAAGCACAUUGCUGGUGAUGACUUCCUUAUUCCUGUACUUUUCUGUGUGAGGCAACUUCUCUUACCAAUCCUGCUUUGGAGAUGUAGACCGUGGAGCAAAAACUGGUUAUAGAGAAGGGAUUUGAAUCCCCGGAUGCUCUGACUAUAGGGGCCAAACACUUAAACCCAACAAUGUCAACAAGGAGCUUAAGUCUCAUUGUCAUUAUUGUUAACAGGUAGAUAAAACUUUCUAACUUUCUGAAUUGUCAAGAUUAAAUUAGAUAAUGUAUUACGAUGUAUUAUCAUCGUGUGUGACACAAAACAUUUUCUUAGUAACUAAUAUUCGCUACCAAUUAUAAUAUAUUUUAUUUAGUGAUUUAUAAAGCUUAAUUAUAUAUUAAACAGAAAUUAAAUAUGAUUUAUAUAUUAUUUGCAUUUUCAUCCUGACAUGCCUGUCUCCACUUACAGGCAUAGGACAGGAUUUACUCUUAUAUAUUUUUGCUUUCAAGAUGAAUUGUGUCCAAAACUUAAUAGCUAGUUAACAUGUAUUUGUUGAACUGAUUAGGAAUAUACAAAUUGCCUGAGUAAUGUCAUUGUUUUGAAAGCUAGUUUUGAAAUUACUUCAUACUUUCCAUAUUAUAGUUAAACCCUUGUGGAAGGGAAAUAUUUAAAGCCCCUUAAAAUUCCUAAAGAUGAGAUAUACUGUGUGUUUCAUAGUGAGGGAUAAAGAAAAGUAAACUUGGAUUCGUAACUAAGAAAUGCUAAAAAAUUGAUAAAAAUAUAAAUAUGUUUCAGGUGACAUUUUCUACAAUAGAUCUGCCUCACAAUAAAAUCUUUAGAAACUCACAGAUAAAGUCUCCAUAUUUAUUUCACAGUGGUUGCAAGGAAAGGUUUGUUUUGUCCAAUUAUAACGUAAACAGCACUAACGUGUUUUCUGGAGUGUUGUCAUUUGGGGACGGGUCUAUCAAAUGAUGGGAUACAUUAAAUACCUCUGAUGCACUGAUAGCUUACCAUUUAAUAUAUAUAAAUACA